UUGUUGUACCAGACAACCGCUGUACGUCGCAAGAUAUAUAGAGGAAAGUCCGAACACAGGCAUGUAUUUAUAUAUGCAGACAGGUAGUGGGUAACGCCCACCGGGAGUAAUCCUAGAGGUGCGAACAGUGACGAAUCCCUUUAGUGGGAGUGCAACGGCUAAAUCCUUAUCCCUGUGCAAGGCCGUGCUCGCGUAAGCGAGAGUGCCGCUUGAGGUAGUUGGUAACAACUAUCCCAGAUAAAUGGUUGUCGCUUCGCCUACCGGCGGAGUACAAAAUUCGGCUUAUCGGUACAGCAAUAUC
rnacentral:RNase_P_RNA from 1 species